AAUCUUGAUGAUGAAGAACUGGUUGAGUAUAUACUCACAGGCCUUGGUGAAGACUACACCUCCCUGGUCACAGCCCUUACUGCUAGGGUUGAAAAGAUCUUAGUUGGGGAGUUAUACUCUCAACUCCUCAAUUUUGAGA
rnacentral:snoRNA from 1 species